CCACUCCUUUGCUGCCCGGGCGGUGUGUUUGGGAUCAUUGUCAUGCUGAAAGACCCAGCCACGUUUCAUCUUCAAUGUUCUCACUGAUGGAUGGUU